AGGGCGGGUGUUGCUCCGCGUCUCCGGCCGGCCCAGUUAUCGCUUCCGGCCGUCUCUGUGCGUUGCGGAGUCGAUUUUACGGUCCGGCCUCGCUGCUGCUCGCCUGCCUUUCUUUGCUUUCUUUUGCUGCCUGGCUUCCCAUCGCUGUUGUUGCGGCACUCGUUGUCGGCGUGAGAGCGGGCCGCUGCCGGCCGCGACUCUGCAGCAAAUGCCGCUCCCAUCUUCUCCCCGGAGUUCCGCUGCCGCCAUUUCGCGGCGCUUGUACAAAGAUCUACUUUGAGGUUCUGAGGAAACUUGUUUAGGUGUUGCCUUCAAGGAGGUGCAGAAUCCUGAUGGACCUGGUGCAUGGACUGACUUCUCCUUAUGGGUCUGUUUGUCUGUAUGGGUGCACAACAGCAUUUCUUCUCAGCUGAAAAUUUACCUUUGGCCUCUACCUGAAGCUGCGUGCUGAAGACCUUCACUGCUACCUUCACUGCUAUAUUCUAAUUAAUUUCUCUUCAGGUGAAAAAUGCAAAUUCUUAUGCCAUGUGGAUCAUGUCAGCUUCUACCACAAGGACUAUGCAAUCCAUCUCUGAACCACUGCAAGGAAACUCACUGUCAACGAUCAGCAGAAGAGGAACAGAACGCUCAACAUAGGAUACUGUAUCUCUGUGCCAUGGCAGCGCUGUGUAAAAUAGUUACAGUGUGAGUGCUGUGCCUGUUGGAUGGAAUUUUGUCUCCACUGACUUCUUCCAAACGAAGUGCUGAAGGUGAUGAGCGAAAAGGUGAGGUUGGCUCCAUCUCUCCCCUCUACAGAAAUGACUCCUGAAGAAUGCGUCCGCUUGCAUAAUGGUGACCACUUCCUAUUGCUGAGGUUAAAGAAUUAUCGUAACUUUCAAACUUCCAGGUUGGUCUCUGGUGCUGUCACCUGCCAUCCUAUGUACAUUCUUGAAGGUUUAGUGUGCAGUCAGGCAUUGAGUUUUCUUGUACAGAAAGAACAAGGGAGAAAUGCUUUGAUGAGAGCAGGCUCUUUGCAGAAGUGGUUUAUCAGGCAGCUUGCACUGCUAUUCAUUCCCAGCUGUAGAGGCCACGGUAAGAAAACAAUAUUUGGUAACAGGGAAAAGUGAUAACCCUGAUUGCCCCUUGGCUGUUUAUCCCAUACAGUAGCCACAACGUAGAGAAACUGUAGAUUAAGUAACACCGACAGCCAGUCCCAGCAGCACUGGAACUAUUCAGAGAGAAUUUUUGAAGAUACAAGGAGUAAAGAAAGAGGCACAAUGAAUCAGCUGCAUUUUACAUCACUCAGCAUUUUUGUUGCCAUUGCAUAUGUUUUUAAUCAGCCGAGAUAACUGUUACAGAAGCAGAGCUUUUUUAUUUUCCAUAUCAAUGCAGUUUCUGCUGCUCUUGUACAGCUGUAAAGUAACUGGCUCUGAGACACCAAUCUCUCCAUUCAUAUUUCAUGAAUGUGGGCAUCUCAGCCUCUGAAGUUGUGUGGAGUCGUGAUUUUCUUUCAUGUUUCCCUAUGUCUAACUUGAUCGUGCACUACGUACCUGAGAGUAAUCAACAGCAAUGUCAGUGACUUGUUUUUGUCUCUUUUGGUGCCUAAGCAGUUGGUUUUCAAAGGAACUUGAGCAGGAAUGUACUGAUGAUAUCAUCCAGGAAGUUUCUCCACAUUACACCAGAUUUGAAAAUAUUUCUAAUUGAUUAUAUUUUUACUUACAGAAAGGUAAUACAGGAAAAGGAAAUCAAUAUUUAUGUGAAGGGGCUUGAGAGUAGCCUAUGAAAAGUUUGAUGAGCAUUUAUCCAUUGUAUAAAAUGUCACAGUCACAGAGUCAAAUAAGUUUUACUCAGUUUAAUAGAAUUACCCUCAACAACAGAGAAUUCAUUCUCUCUCUCUCUCUCUCUCUCUCUCUCUCUCUCUCUCUCUCUCUCUCUCUCUCUCUCUCUCUCUC